GAUGUCCUUGUAUUUAAAUGAAUGACUGCUAUUGCUCCUUUUUGAGUGUAAAACCAAGGACUAUGCUUAGGGCCAGUGCUGCAGAAGAAACAGGAUUUUCUUUGCCCCUGGUGGCUACGCGUUCUUAAUCAUGCUUGCCAUGUUGCAUCUGCACAGCCCCCAUCCUUGCUCUGGUUCUUGGGACACUAAAGUGGAGCGUUUGAAACUGUCUGCUAUUCACAAGGAAGUAACCAUUCUUUUUCAUGCCUCCAGGGCUGACUUGUUCUGGAUAAGCCUCCUUGAAGACUUUGAUUGACAUCUGAAGCCCUCUUCAUUCCUCCACACAGACAGUGAAGUGCGAUGGGCAAGGACAUGCAUGUCUACUCAAAACAGAAAUGUAGUUACCAUGAUGCGAAAGAAAGAAACCCAAUUCAAAUAGCUGCAGGAAAUUUGGGAUCCUUAAAGAACCUGGAGUUUGAAAUGAAGCUUUUGCCCAGUUAAAACAGGAUGUGAAAUAUCAUGCAGAGAUGAAGAGGACAGAACAGUUGUGUGCAGAUGAAGUUUGUGACUGCUUAGGAAAGACCCUGGAGAAUAGGAGCUUUAUGAAACGGGGAGAUGAUGGGGACAUUCAGUCCUGGCAACGGCCUUGUUGGAGAAAGACCUACUGGGAGACAUUUCUAGGAUCACUGGGCCUGCGCUGGUUUGGUUUCUUGAAUAAAGAGUUAACUUCACUGGCACCAUGUUUUUCUUUGA